CACAGAGCAAAGGAGGAGCUUGGAAUAAACCAGCAUAUAACUCCUGGUCCCUCUUGGUUGGCAUUCUUUCCUACUCCUAUGCUUGAGCUUAAUGACUGUACAGCACUGUAAAUACCAGCCAGUCCUUCAGCACAGAAGGACAGGGUUUGCUUUAGUGCUAUUUUUAGUUAAGCAGAUCCCACUUCUAAAUCUGCAAUGCCUCCAUUUUCAAUAUCGUGAUUAUGUUUGAUGUUCCACAGGAAGACGAGGGAACUAGGGUGAAUCAGAAAGCACAAUGCAGAGUAGGCAAUACCAUGCUGCCUUCUGAAACACCAGCCCAGAGAGAGCAGAAGCCUUGGUGGGGGCUUUGCACAGGGAGGAGCCAUCAAGCAGCUGGACGUGUCAGCUGGGCACCUCAUCAGGCAGCUGCUGCAAGUGGAAGCUUUCAGUUACGGGGGACAGACAGCAGCUGGAGGGACCACGUCUGAGCUGUGGUCAUUUCAGAGGUACUGACAGACAGACAGAAGAUACCAGAGCUGCCACGCAAGGAGAGAGACUGCCACAAAAGGAAGCAAGAAAAUAGUCCACAUGUGUAUCGAAUGCAGUGAGCAUAAACCAAGACGAGAUCUGUCCUUUCUGUUCUGUCUUUCAGUCAAAGAGAUAGAAGUGGCUUUGGAGAGAAACUAUCCAAGAAUAAGUGAGAAAGAGACAUGAGACAGGGAAUAUUGUCCUCAUGACCCAGCGACUGACUGAAUUUUUGUUUGCCCUCGGAGCAGCACGCCUUUCAGUCUGCCUGUACUGGAGCAGGCACAAAUAGUAUUGAUCAGCAAAGGUGGCUGACAUGAGGAAGCACCACUAUAAAGGCCAGUACAGUAGGAUUUCAGCAUAGUACAUCUAAAUGAAAGGAAAACUUGAGGAGAACAUAUACAGCUCUUGCAGUGACUUACAUCAGCUAAGUGGCCAAAGAGAGAGAUCUUCAUCUCCAAAAGUAUACCCCUGUCCAGGGAGACCUCUGUCAAAUGAAGAAUCAAAACUUAUGGAAUCAGAAGUGUUAAGAGAUGUAGUUACACUCUCUACAAAGUCAUUGGUUGCUGCAAUAUCCACCAAGAUCUUUUAGAUUUGUCCCAGACUGAAAUUGUUCCCUCCCUGUACAGACAAGGAUAGGAGUGGAGAUUAACAAAUUAGCAGAUUCCCAUGAUGAAGAUAAGGAUGACAAUUACAGAAAACCCAAGAAAAAAUUAUAGUCAAGCCAAUGUUCAGCAUGGGGGAAUUGAAAUAUGAAACAGCAGUAGCAGAAGGAGACAGCACAGAAGCAAACACUUCAGGUGGGAGGGAUGGACUUAAACACAGCAAAGCAACAAUAUACUUAAUUCAGUGGGAAAAAUAACAAUGAAAAGCAGCCGUUACUCCAACAGAGUCUGUGAAUGAAUUGCAUUGUUUCAGAUGAGAGACUAUGCCAAGAUACUUCCAAGCAGGUCACCCAAUCUACGCAUACUGAAGCCAGGCUUCACAGUGUUCAGAUGGGAAAUGAUGCACUGGUGGUAGAGAAGUGAAAAAGAGUAUUCUGCUAGAUACGGUAGAAAGGAGUUGGGUUUCGGGACAGCAGCUUAGGAUUUUUGAUUCUGGCCUGUGGGAUGAAAUAAACUGGGCUCAACUACUGUUGCCUACA
rnacentral:lncRNA from 1 species